rnacentral:rRNA from 1 species
AGCCAAUCUCAGUUCGGAUUGUAGGCUGCAACUCGCCUACAUGAAGUUGGAAUCGCUAGUAAUCGCGAAUCAGAAUGUCGCGGUGAAUACGUUCCCGGGUCUUGUACACACCGCCCGUCACACCACGAGAGUUUACAACACCCGAAGUCAGUGGCCUAACCGCAAGGAGGGAGCUGCCUAAGGGUGGGGUAGAUGAUUGGGGUGAAGUCGUAACAAGGUAAC